rnacentral:tmRNA from 1 species
GGGGGCGAAAAGGUUUCGACGGGGAUGGUUGAGGUGUAGAACGCAUGCCGAGGUUGACCGGUUGGCCUCGUUAAAAGCCGGUCAAAAACAACUGCCAAUCAAGAAUUGGCCCUCGCUGCCUAAUAAUUGAGCAGCGCGUCCCACCCGUGAUAGCCUGCUAACGGACUGGGGCGUCAACCAGCAGGUCUGUCCUUUCGAGAUUUGCGGGGCUCGGAAGGCAGUAACAAACUCGCAUAGCGGCUAUGGUGAGCCAGCCCUGAGGCGCUCCGUAGUGGCGAAUCUAUAAAGGAUGGGCUAAGCAUGUAGUUGGGCUACACUGAAACAUCUUCGGACGCGGGUUCGAUUCCCGCCGCCUCCACCA